ensembl:rRNA 5S_rRNA 5S ribosomal RNA
GGCCACAGCCAUAUCACCCUGGAGCCCAGGAGCGGUUCCACACUGAAGCUAAGCAGGGCUGAGCCUGGUCAGUACCUGGAUGGGAGACAACAUGGGAACACUAGUUUGCUGUUGGCA